rnacentral:sRNA from 1 species
UCAGCGAGAGAGCGUCAGCGAGAGAGCGUCAGCGAGAGAGCGUUGCCGCAGGCAACGACCCGAAGGGCGAAGCGCGCAGCGCUGAGUAAUCCUUCCCCCACCACCA